UACGUAGGGUGCGAGCGUUAAUCGGAAUUACUGGGCGUAAAGGGUGCGCAGGCGGUUAUAUAAGACAGAUGUGAAAUCCCUCGGCUUAACCGGGGAACUGCGUCUGAUACUGGAUGGCUUGAGGUUGGGAGAGGGAUGCGGAAUUCCAGGUGUAGCGGUGAAAUGCGUAGAUAUCUGGAGGAACACCGGUGGCGAAGGCGGGUCUCUGGGUAGUAACUGACGCUGAGGAACGAAAGCGUGGGUAGCGAACAGG
rnacentral:rRNA from 1 species